rnacentral:rRNA from 1 species
CCUACGGGAGGCAGCAGUGGGGGAUAUUGCACAAUGGGGGGAACCCUGAUGCAGCGACGCCGCGUGGGUGAAGAAGCGCCUCGGCGCGUAAAGCCCUGUCGGCAGGGAAGAAAAUGACGGUACCUUAAGAAUAAGCCCCGGCUAACUACGUGCCAGCAGCCGCGGGAAUACGGAGGGGGCAAGCGUUAUCCGGAUUUACUGGGUGUAAAGGGGGCGCAGGCGGGGAGGCAAGCCAGGAGUGAAAGCCCGGGGCCCAACCCCGGGACUGCCUUUGGAACUGCGUGGCUGGAGUGCAGGAGGGGCAGGCGGAAUUCCUGGUGUAGCGGUGAAAUGCGGAGAUAUCAGGAGGAACACUGGUGGCGAAGGCGGCCUGCUGGACUGCAACUGACGUUGAGGCCCGAAAGCGUGGGGAGCAAACAGGAUUAGAUACCCGAGUAGUC